rnacentral:rRNA from 1 species
UACGAGGGGGGCAAGCGUUGUUCGGAAUUAUUGGGCGUAAAGGGUGCGUAGGCGGGUCUUUAAGUCAGGGGUGAAAUCCUGGAGCUCAACUCCAGAACUGCCUUUGAUACUGAGGAUCUUGAGUUCGGGAGAGGUGAGUGGAACUGCGAGUGUAGAGGUGAAAAUUCGUAGAUAUUCGCAAGAACACCAGUGGCGAAGGCGGCUCACUGGCCCGAUACUGACGCUGAGGCACGAAAGCGUGGGGAGCAAACAGGGA